UUAAGCGACUAAGCGUACACGGUGGAUGCCCUGGCAGUCAGAGGCGAUGAAGGACGUGCUAAUCUGCGAUAAGCGUCGGUGAGGUGAUAUGAACCGUUAUAACCGGCGAUUUCCGAAUGGGGAAACCCAGUGUGUUUCGACACACUAUCAUUAACUGAAUCCAUAGGUUAAUGAGGCGAACCGGGGGAACUGAAACAUCUAAGUACCCCGAGGAAAAGAAAUCAACCGAGAUUCCCCCAGUAGCGGCGAGCGAACGGGGAGGAGCCCAGAGCCUGAAUCAGUGUGUGUGUUAGUGGAAGCGUCUGGAAAGGCGCGCGAUACAGGGUGACAGCCCCGUACACAAAAAUGCACAUAUUGUGAGCUCGAUGAGUAGGGCGGGACACGUGGUAUCCUGUCUGAAUAUGGGGGGACCAUCCUCCAAGGCUAAAUACUCCUGACUGACCGAUAGUGAACCAGUACCGUGAGGGAAAGGCGAAAAGAACCCCGGCGAGGGGAGUGAAAAAGAACCUGAAACCGUGUACGUACAAGCAGUGGGAGCCUCUUUAUGGGGUGACUGCGUACCUUUUGUAUAAUGGGUCAGCGACUUAUAUUCUGUAGCAAGGUUAACCGAAUAGGGGAGCCGAAGGGAAACCGAGUCUUAACUGGGCGUUAAGUUGCAGGGUAUAGACCCGAAACCCGGUGAUCUAGCCAUGGGCAGGUUGAAGGUUGGGUAACACUAACUGGAGGACCGAACCGACUAAUGUUGAAAAAUUAGCGGAUGACUUGUGGCUGGGGGUGAAAGGCCAAUCAAACCGGGAGAUAGCUGGUUCUCCCCGAAAGCUAUUUAGGUAGCGCCUCGUGAAUUCAUCUCCGGGGGUAGAGCACUGUUUCGGCAAGGGGGUCAUCCCGACUUACCAACCCGAUGCAAACUGCGAAUACCGGAGAAUGUUAUCACGGGAGACACACGGCGGGUGCUAACGUCCGUCGUGAAGAGGGAAACAACCCAGACCGCCAGCUAAGGUCCCAAAGUCAUGGUUAAGUGGGAAACGAUGUGGGAAGGCCCAGACAGCCAGGAUGUUGGCUUAGAAGCAGCCAUCAUUUAAAGAAAGCGUAAUAGCUCACUGGUCGAGUCGGCCUGCGCGGAAGAUGUAACGGGGCUAAACCAUGCACCGAAGCUGCGGCAGCGACACUAUGUGUUGUUGGGUAGGGGAGCGUUCUGUAAGCCUGUGAAGGUGGCCUGUGAGGGUUGCUGGAGGUAUCAGAAGUGCGAAUGCUGACAUAAGUAACGAUAAAGCGGGUGAAAAGCCCGCUCGCCGGAAGACCAAGGGUUCCUGUCCAACGUUAAUCGGGGCAGGGUGAGUCGACCCCUAAGGCGAGGCCGAAAGGCGUAGUCGAUGGGAAACAGGUUAAUAUUCCUGUACUUGGUGUUACUGCGAAGGGGGGACGGAGAAGGCUAUGUUGGCCGGGCGACGGUUGUCCCGGUUUAAGCGUGUAGGCUGGUUUUCCAGGCAAAUCCGGAAAACCAAGGCUGAGGCGUGAUGACGAGGCACUACGGUGCUGAAGCGACAAAUGCCCUGCUUCCAGGAAAAGCCUCUAAGCAUCAGGUAACAUCAAAUCGUACCCCAAACCGACACAGGUGGUCAGGUAGAGAAUACCAAGGCGCUUGAGAGAACUCGGGUGAAGGAACUAGGCAAAAUGGUGCCGUAACUUCGGGAGAAGGCACGCUGAUAUGUAGGUGAAGCGACUUACUCGUGGAGCUGAAAUCAGUCGAAGAUACCAGCUGGCUGCAACUGUUUAUUAAAAACACAGCACUGUGCAAACACGAAAGUGGACGUAUACGGUGUGACGCCUGCCCGGUGCCGGAAGGUUAAUUGAUGGGGUUAGCGGUAACGCGAAGCUCUUGAUCGAAGCCCCGGUAAACGGCGGCCGUAACUAUAACGGUCCUAAGGUAGCGAAAUUCCUUGUCGGGUAAGUUCCGACCUGCACGAAUGGCGUAAUGAUGGCCAGGCUGUCUCCACCCGAGACUCAGUGAAAUUGAACUCGCUGUGAAGAUGCAGUGUACCCGCGGCAAGACGGAAAGACCCCGUGAACCUUUACUAUAGCUUGACACUGAACAUUGAGCCUUGAUGUGUAGGAUAGGUGGGAGGCUUUGAAGUGUGGACGCCAGUCUGCAUGGAGCCGACCUUGAAAUACCACCCUUUAAUGUUUGAUGUUCUAACGUUGGCCCGUAAUCCGGGUUGCGGACAGUGUCUGGUGGGUAGUUUGACUGGGGCGGUCUCCUCCUAAAGAGUAACGGAGGAGCACGAAGGUUGGCUAAUCCUGGUCGGACAUCAGGAGGUUAGUGCAAUGGCAUAAGCCAGCUUGACUGCGAGCGUGACGGCGCGAGCAGGUGCGAAAGCAGGUCAUAGUGAUCCGGUGGUUCUGAAUGGAAGGGCCAUCGCUCAACGGAUAAAAGGUACUCCGGGGAUAACAGGCUGAUACCGCCCAAGAGUUCAUAUCGACGGCGGUGUUUGGCACCUCGAUGUCGGCUCAUCACAUCCUGGGGCUGAAGUAGGUCCCAAGGGUAUGGCUGUUCGCCAUUUAAAGUGGUACGCGAGCUGGGUUUAGAACGUCGUGAGACAGUUCGGUCCCUAUCUGCCGUGGGCGCUGGAGAACUGAGGGGGGCUGCUCCUAGUACGAGAGGACCGGAGUGGACGCAUCACUGGUGUUCGGGUUGUCAUGCCAAUGGCACUGCCCGGUAGCUAAAUGCGGAAGAGAUAAGUGCUGAAAGCAUCUAAGCACGAAACUUGCCCCGAGAUGAGUUCUCCCUGAGACUUAGAGUCUCCUGAAGGAACGUUGAAGACGACGACGUUGAUAGGCCGGGUGUGUAAGCGCAGCGAUGCGUUGAGCUAACCGGUACUAAUGAACCGUGAGGCUUAACCUU
rnacentral:rRNA from 2 species